AGUGCUAGUCUAAGGUCGUAGGAGGUUAUACAGGCAAAUCCGUAUAACAAUACUCCGAGAACUGAAAGGCUUUUUGAAGUCUUCGGAUGGAUAGAAGAACCCCUGAUGCCAUCGAGCCAAGAAAAGUUUCUAAGUUUAGCUAAUGUUGCCCGUACCGUAAACCGACACAGGUGGGUGGGAUGAGUAUUCUAAGGCGCGUGGAAGAACUCUCUUUAAGGAACUCUGCAAAAUAGCACCGUAUCUUCGGUAUAAGGUGUGGUUCGCUUCGUAUUAGGAUUUACUCCGAAAGCGAAGAAACUUACAACAAAGAGUCCCUCCCGACUGUUUACCAAAAACACAGCACUCUGCUAACUCGUAAGAGGAUGUAUAGGGUGUGACGCCUGCCCGGUGCUCGAAGGUUAAUUGAUGGGGUUAGCAUUAGCGAAGCUCUUGAUCGAAGCCCGAGUAAACGGCGGCCGUAACUAUAACGGUCCUAAGGUAGCGAAAUUCCUUGUCGGUUAAAUACCGACCUGCAUGAAUGGCGUAACGAGAUGGGAGCUGUCUCAAAGAGGGAUCCAGUGAAAUUGUAGUGGAGGUGAAAAUUCCUCCUACCCGCGGCAAGACGGAAAGACCCCGUGGACCUUUACUACAGCUUGACACUGCUAUUUGGAUAAGAAUGUGCAGGAUAGGUGGGAGGCUUUGAGUAUAUGACGCCAGUUGUAUAUGAGCCAUUGUUGAGAUACCACUCUUUCUUAUUUGGGUAGCUAACCAGCUUGAGUUAUCCUCAAGUGGGACAAUGUCUGGUGGGUAGUUUGACUGGGGCGGUCGCCUCCCAAAUAAUAACGGAGGCUUACAAAGGUUGGCUCAGAACGGUUGGAAAUCGUUCGUAGAGUAUAAAGGUAUAAGCCAGCUUAACUGCAAGACAUACAAGUCAAGCAGAGACGAAAGUCGGUCUUAGUGAUCCGGUGGUUCUGUGUGGAAGGGCCAUCGCUCAAAGGAUAAAAGGUACCCCGGGGAUAACAGGCUGAUCUCCCCCAAGAGCUCACAUCGACGGGGAGGUUUGGCACCUCGAUGUCGGCUCAUCGCAUCCUGGGGCUGGAGCAGGUCCCAAGGGUAUGGCUGUUCGCCAUUUAAAGCGGUACGCGAGCUGGGUUCAGAACGUCGUGAGACAGUUCGGUCCCUAUCUGCCGUGGGCGUAAGAAGAUUGAAGAGAUUUGACCCUAGUACGAGAGGACCGGGUUGAACAAACCACUGGUGUAGCUGUUGUUCUGCCAAGAGCAUCGCAGCGUAGCUAAGUUUGGAAAGGAUAAACGCUGAAAGCAUCUAAGCGUGAAGCCAACUCUAAGAUGAAUCUUCUCUAAGCUCUCUAGAAGACUACUAGUUUGAUAGGCUGGGUGUGUAAUGGAUGAAAGUCCUUUAGCUGACCAGUACUAAUAGAGCGUUUGGCUUAUCUUUAAUAAAGCAU
rnacentral:rRNA from 1 species